AUUAAUCAUGAAGUUAGAGAUGGAAUAGUUGUCAGAGUGACUAUAUAACAUAUUGCAGAGGCAUGACUAUAAUUAAGUAGAUAAUAUCUUCCUCACUCUUAAACUUCUUUGUUUCUCAUCUUCUGGGCCAGCCUUUAAAUCUGGAAUUUUUUAAUGUACUUUCCAUGGUUGUUGUGGGACUGCAGAAAACUGUUCAUUUGAUGCAGCAACAUCACAAUAAUUCCAGAAGCUUCUUCAGUGUUUCUAUAGGUUGCACUACAUGCUAGCUGUCCCCCAUCUUGAUAAUCUGUGGAAGCCCACGCAUCAACACUGCUAUAGUAGCAUAGUGAGCUCCUUCAUCUUGCUGGGUGUGUGAAUUUGGCUGUUAAUAGAGAUUUAAGUACACACAUGUAAGUAUUGGGACUGUGGUCAUAGAGAACGUCUGGAGAGGAAAUGUCCAAAGCCUGCAUUCAGUUGUCUAAGGGUCUAAAGAAAACUGAAAAGGACAAACAUUUUUGCAUAUUCUUUAUGCUGCACCUUACAAAUAAGAACUGGACAAGUAUUUAAGCUAAGUUUUGAGGGGUAAUUUGGCAGAUUACUUCAGAGGUGAAAGCAGAUGUGGACCUAAGUUACAAAUACCACUGUCAUCACUGCAAUAAAAUUAUAACUAGCAAAGAAAAGCGUAUGUUUUUAUUCAGUGGUAUGUGUGAUUUCAUCAAUUAUGGACAUUAUAGGAAUGUGCUUAUAUUGGCCCUUCAGUAUCACGAAUGUUUUAAGUUGCUUUUAUUUGAUGAAAUAUAUAACAUGUUAUUUACAUAAAUAAUGUAAACACAUUAAAAUUAUUUUCUUCUGUUAGAAACUUGGAGUGCCAUCAUUGAAUCAUGAACAAUAAUUCCAUGACAAAGCAACCCUGUUCCAGUCAGUCCUACAGUCACACAAACACCACAUUUUAUAAUACUGAGUACAUUCUAGUUAGCAUGUUUAUCAAUAUACAGAAGUGCUUAGUUUCUUUGUGUUGAUAAUAUUUCAUGGUGAGGAGAUUACAGACAAGUCUCGAACUAAGUAUAGUAGGAAAUCCACUGAUCAACCUUUUAGCAUGCACAUGCAUUCAUCCAUUUGUCACGCAUUCAGUCAUACACAUAUGCUUCCAUACCCACAGGGCUAGACAUGUAUUUUAACCAAAGUAAAAUUAUGAACCCCCUGCAUGGUUCUAGACAACAUUUCAGUUGAGAUAUGAAAAUGAAUUUGAUUGUGUAUUAUGUAACAUUUAGAAUUUACCUGUGUUAUAAUAAUGUUUUAAUUUACUAAAAGUAUGACGAAAUUAUCAUAUUUUUAAAUUCACCAGAAAGUAAUUCCUGUUUAGUGGAAAUAGUCCAGCUAGAAAAGUAAAACAGUCUUCACACAUUUUUAUGUGCUGUUGCAUCAUAUUAAUUUAAAAAUAUAUUUAUAUGCUAAGUUUGUUUUAAAUAAAAUAAUUAAUUCAAUAUACAGCCCUGCACAAAUUCCAGGCACUAGCUCAUCUAGAAUUUUAUUCCCAUUAUAUUCCUUCUAGUGUAUGAUUCAUCCACAAUACGAGGAAAUUUAUUUUCUCCAUGUUUCUGUAGUAUCUUUCAUCUUCUCUUCCCCCACUUCUCCUGUAUUCCUUUCCAGCCAACUUUAUAUGCUUAUCUUAUCAUCAUUCUUUUCCCCUUUGCCUUAAAACACUUUCCUUCUGCCCAUUCUUACUUUCCUGUUGAAUCUUCAUAUCCUGUCUCCUAUACUCUUUUCCCACGUCUUCUCUUUGUACAUCGAUGUCACAAUUCCCUCUCCCCAUACCCUGGUUUUAACAUAUCAGGAUUUCUGAGAGCAUUUAUUUAUAAGUGGAUGCCUGAAUUGUGUUUCUCUUGACACAAAGAACAUUUCUUACCUGGACCUUUUUUUUUUUAACCCUUAGCUUUUGUGGGUGACUUCAAGGAAAUCUGUGCAGUCCUGGAAAUAUUCAUUUCAUUUCAUUCAUUUUUGUGUGAUGCAGAAAGGAAUUAGACUCCUAUAUUACAGAUUUUGCAAGUAUCAUAAUAAUGCAGAACACAAACAGAAUUCUAGACAGUAUUGUUUCAGCUUAAUAAUUAAUGCACUUAAUCUCAUGCACACUUCCAUAAGCAUGUGACAGUAGAUUCCACAUGUGUAAGAGCAAUACAUAUGCCUAUAUGCCGCAAGUAUGUACAUGGAUAAAGUAAAAUUAAUUUUCCAUCUACACUUUGGAUAUAUCAGUAUUAUGACACAGGUAGUUGGUCAUUGUAUUACGCUUCUUUGGAGUGGUAUUAUGUUUAGUACAUGAUCACAAUGUUUUUCCCACAUGGUUGUAACAACUGUAUGUUGCAUGUUUGCAAAAUUAACCUUUUAUGGCCUUGUAAUUUAAGACAACUAAAAUUUAGGUAAUGGGUGAUGGCAGGAAAGUUCAAUCUAAUAAAACAUAUAUGUACUGAAUUUAAGGUUCUCUCAACAGUAGCUAUGAAGAGUAUGGUUUUCUGGGUUUUGAUGCUGUGUAUGUUAAGAAGAGCCUGAUGCUUCAUUGGAACAGUGGGCUCUACCUGAACUACACAAACUAAAACUUCUCCUAUCUAUUGGAGAUGAACGGUGGAAAUGUCCAUGUUAUUGUAUCGAUGUAGUUUUCCUCAAUUUUAAAUCCAUUUAAUACUGCAUUUGCUUACAGUUUUAUUUUAUUGAGUAUAACUUCAUCAAUAUGGUAAUAAAUGCCCAUCAUUCAAAUGUUCAGUUCUUUUACCAUCUGUACAGAUAAGCUAUUUACAAUGUUAAUACAGACAAUGAUGGCAAGACAAAACAUAACAGGAUUUAUAUUA